UUGAACGCUGGCGGCAUGCCUUACACAUGCAAGUCGAACGGUAACGGGCCUUCGGGUGCCGCCGAGUGGCGAACGGGUGAGUAAUACAUCGGAACGUGCCCGAUCGUGGGGGAUAACGAGGCGAAAGCUUUGCUAAUACCGCAUACGAUCUACGGAUGAAAGCAGGGGACCGCAAGGCCUUGCGCGGACGGAGCGGCCGAUGGCAGAUUAGGUAGUUGGUGGGAUAAAAGCUUACCAAGCCGACGAUCUGUAGCUGGUCUGAGAGGAUGAUCAGCCACACUGGGACUGAGACACGGCCCAGACUCCUACGGGAGGCAGCAGUGGGGAAUUUUGGACAAUGGGCGCAAGCCUGAUCCAGCCAUGCCGCGUGCAGGAUGAAGGCCUUCGGGUUGUAAACUGCUUUUGUACGGAACGAAAAGCCUUCUUUUAAUACAGGAGGGUCAUGACGGUACCGUAAGAAUAAGCACCGGCUAACUACGUG
rnacentral:rRNA from 1 species